rnacentral:rRNA from 1 species
AUUGAACGCUGGCGGCAGGCUUAACACAUGUAAGUCGAGCGGAUGAAGGUAGCUUGCUACUGGAUUCAGCGGCGGACGGGUGAGUAAUGCUUAGGAAUCUGCCUAUUAGUGGGGGACAACGUUCCGAAAGGAGCGCUAAUACCGCAUACGUCCUACGGGAGAAAGCAGGGGACCUUCGGGCCUUGCGCUAAUAGAUGAGCCUAAGUCGGAUUAGCUAGUUGGUAGGGUAAAGGCCUACCAAGGCGACGAUCUGUAGCGGGUCUGAGAGGAUGAUCCGCCACACUGGGACUGAGACACGGCCCAGACUCCUACGGGAGGCAGCAGUGGGGAAUAUUGGACAAUGGGGGGAACCCUGAUCCAGCCAUGCCGCGUGUGUGAAGAAGGCCUUUUGGUUGUAAAGCACUUUAAGCGAGGAGGAGGCUACCUAGAUUAAUACUUUAGGAUAGUGGACGUUACUCGCAGAAUAAGCACCGGCUAGCUCUGUGCCAGCCGCCGCGGUAAAAC